UUGUGCCUACGGGGGGCAGCAGUGGGGGAUAUUGCACAAUGGGGGAAACCCUGAUGCAGCGACGCCGCGUGUGGGAAGACGGUCCUCUGGAUUGUAAACCACUGUCCCCAGGGACGAAGAUGACGGUACCUGGGGAGGAAGCUCCGGCUAACUACGUGCCAGCAGCCGCGGUAAUACGUAGGGAGCGAGCGUUAUCCGGAAUUAUUGGGUGUAAAGGGUGCGUAGACGGGAACUUAAGUUAGUUGUGAAAUCCCUUAGCUCAACUAAGGAAUGGCAACUGAAACUGGGUUUCUUGAGUGCAGGAG
rnacentral:rRNA from 1 species